rnacentral:rRNA from 1 species
GACGAACGCUGGCGGCGUGCCUAAUACAUGCAAGUAGAACGCUGAAGAGAGGAGCUUGCUCUUCUUGGAUGAGUUGCGAACGGGUGAGUAACGCGUAGGUAACCUGCCUUGUAGCGGGGGAUAACUAUUGGAAACGAUAGCUAAUACCGCAUAACAAUGGAUGACACAUGUCAUUUAUUUGAAAGGGGCAAUUGCUCCACUACAAGAUGGACCUGCGUUGUAUUAGCUAGUAGGUGAGGUAAUGGCUCACCUAGGCGACGAUACAUAGCCGACCUGAGAGGGUGAUCGGCCACACUGGGACUGAGACACGGCCCAGACUCCUACGGGAGGCAGCAGUANGGAAUCUUCGGCAAUGGGGGCAACCCUGACCGAGCAACGCCGCGUGAGUGAAGAAGGUUUUCGGAUCGUAAAGCUCUGUUGUAAGUCAAGAACGGGUGUGAGAGUGGAAAGUUCACACUAUGACGGUAGCUUACCAGAAAGGGACGGCUAACUACGUGCCAGCAGCCGCGGUAAUACGUAGGUCCCGAGCGUUGUCCGGAUUUAUUGGGCGUAAAGCGAGCGCAGGCGGUCUGAUAAGUCUGAAGUUAAAGGCUGUGGCUCAACCAUAGUUCGCUUUGGAAACUGUCAAACUUGAGUGCAGAAGGGGAGAGUGGAAUUCCAUGUGUAGCGGUGAAAUGCGUAGAUAUAUGGAGGAACACCGGUGGCGAAAGCGGCUCUCUGGUCUGUAACUGACGCUGAGGCUCGAAAGCGUGGGGAGCGAACAGGAUUAGAUACCCUGGUAGUCCACGCCGUAAACGAUGAGUGCUAGGUGUUGGAUCCUUUCCGGGAUUCAGUGCCGCAGCUAACGCAUUAAGCACUCCGCCUGGGGAGUACGACCGCAAGGUUGAAACUCAAAGGAAUUGACGGGGGCCCGCACAAGCGGUGGAGCAUGUGGUUUAAUUCGAAGCAACGCGAAGAACCUUACCAGGUCUUGACAUCCCGAUGCUAUUUCUAGAGAUAGAAAGUUACUUCGGUACAUCGGUGACAGGUGGUGCAUGGUUGUCGUCAGCUCGUGUCGUGAGAUGUUGGGUUAAGUCCCGCAACGAGCGCAACCCCUAUUGUUAGUUGCCAUCAUUCAGUUGGGCACUCUAGCGAGACUGCCGGUAAUAAACCGGAGGAAGGUGGGGAUGACGUCAAAUCAUCAUGCCCCUUAUGACCUGGGCUACACACGUGCUACAAUGGUUGGUACAACGAGUUGCGAGUCGGUGACGGCGAGCUAAUCUCUUAAAGCCAAUCCCAGUUCGGAUUGUAGGCUGCAACUCGCCUACAUGAAGUCGGAAUCGCUAGUAAUCGCGGAUCAGCACGCCGCGGUGAAUACGUUCCCGGGCCUUGUACACACCGCCCGUCACACCACGAGAGUUUGUAACACCCGAAGUCGGUGAGGUAACCUUUUGGAGCCAGCCGCCUAAGGUGGGACAGAUGAUUGGGGUGAAGUCGUAACAAGGUAGCCGUAUCGGAAGG